rnacentral:rRNA from 1 species
UACGUAGGGUGCAAGCGUUGUCCGGAAUUAUUGGGCGUAAAGAGCUCGUAGGCGGUCUGUCGCGUCGGAUGUGAAAAUCCAGGGCUCAACCCUGGACCUGCAUUCGAUACGGGCAGACUAGAGUUCGGUAGGGGAGACUGGAAUUCCUGGUGUAGCGGUGAAAUGCGCAGAUAUCAGGAGGAACACCGGUGGCGAAGGCGGGUCUCUGGGCCGAAACUGAUGCUGAGGAGCGAAAGCGUGGGGAGCAAACAGG